AAAUUGAAGAGUUUGAUCAUGGCUCAGAUUGAACGCUGGCGGCAGGCCUAACACAUGCAAGUCGAACGGUAGCACAGAGAGCUUGCUCUCGGGUGACGAGUGGCGGACGGGUGAGUAAUGUCUGGGAAACUGCCUGAUGGAGGGGGAUAACUACUGGAAACGGUAGCUAAUACCGCAUAAUGUCGCAAGACCAAAGAGGGGGACCUUCGGGCCUCUUGCCAUCAGAUGUGCCCAGAUGGGAUUAGCUAGUAGGUGGGGUAACGGCUCACCUAGGCGACGAUCCCUAGCUGGUCUGAGAGGAUGACCAGCCACACUGGAACUGAGACACGGUCCAGACUCCUACGGGAGGCAGCAGUGGGGAAUAUUGCACAAUGGGCGCAAGCCUGAUGCAGCCAUGCCGCGUGUAUGAAGAAGGCCUUCGGGUUGUAAAGUACUUUCAGCGGGGAGGAAGGUGUUGUGGUUAAUAACCACAGCAAUUGACGUUACCCGCAGAAGAAGCACCGGCUAACUCCGUGCCAGCAGCCGCGGUAAUACGGAGGGUGCAAGCGUUAAUCGGAAUUACUGGGCGUAAAGCGCACGCAGGCGGUCUGUCAAGUCGGAUGUGAAAUCCCCGGGCUCAACCUGGGAACUGCAUUCGAAACUGGCAGGCUAGAGUCUUGUAGAGGGGGGUGGAAUUCCAGGUGUAGCGGUGAAAUGCGUAGAGAUCUGGAGGAAUACCGGUGGCGAAGGCGGCCCCCUGGACAAAGACUGACGCUCAGGUGCGAAAGCGUGGGGAGCAAACAGGAUUAGAUACCCUGGUAGUCCACGCCGUAAACGAUGUCGAUUUGGAGGUUGUGCCCUUGAGGCGUGGCUUCCGGAGCUAACGCGUUAAAUCGACCGCCUGGGGAGUACGGCCGCAAGGUUAAAACUCAAAUGAAUUGACGGGGGCCCGCACAAGCGGUGGAGCAUGUGGUUUAAUUCGAUGCAACGCGAAGAACCUUACCUGGUCUUGACAUCCACAGAACUUUCCAGAGAUGGAUUGGUGCCUUCGGGAACUGUGAGACAGGUGCUGCAUGGCUGUCGUCAGCUCGUGUUGUGAAAUGUUGGGUUAAGUCCCGCAACGAGCGCAACCCUUAUCCUUUGUUGCCAGCGGUCCGGCCGGGAACUCAAAGGAGACUGCCAGUGAUAAACUGGAGGAAGGUGGGGAUGACGUCAAGUCAUCAUGGCCCUUACGACCAGGGCUACACACGUGCUACAAUGGCGCAUACAAAGAGAAGCGACCUCGCGAGAGCAAGCGGACCUCAUAAAGUGCGUCGUAGUCCGGAUUGGAGUCUGCAACUCGACUCCAUGAAGUCGGAAUCGCUAGUAAUCGUAGAUCAGAAUGCUACGGUGAAUACGUUCCCGGGCCUUGUACACACCGCCCGUCACACCAUGGGAGUGGGUUGCAAAAGAAGUAGGUAGCUUAACCUUCGGGAGGGCGCUUACCACUUUGUGAUUCAUGACUGGGGUGAAGUCGUAACAAGGUAACCGUAGGGGAACCUGCGGUUGGAUCACCUCCUUA
rnacentral:rRNA from 1 species